rnacentral:lncRNA from 1 species
AUAAUUCAACAGUAGUGAAAACUGGAAGGUAGAUUGUUUCUUGUUCUUGCUUUACAAAUCUUUUUUUUCAGUAGAAUUCAACACUAUGCAUAACAACUGCAAUUUUAUCAAAUGUGCCUGUUCAUUUUAUUGCAUAGCAAUUGGCCAACUGCUCAUUCCAAUGAAAGCUUAAACAUAUAAAUGAAGGACGGGCAAGUGGAGGCCCUUGAGUAAUCUGUAUUUUAAGGGCCUAUUUGCUGGCAGAAUUUUACACGAGGACUGAGGACAGUGUUUAGCUCUCAGGGAUCAUUUGUCAUCCCAGGGAUAGCACAUCAUAUUAUGUAUCAGCAGGCUUGAUGGAAAUGAGUUCGGCGAUAAUGUUGCUAUCAAAUCACUACCAAACCAAUAUGAAAUGCAUUUGACCAAACAAACAAGAAUGUGGCAUUGCAUGGUUGUUACCCAUUCUGCUUAAUGAGUUCAAAUGUAUGAUCCACAUCCUCCUUGGUGCGCAAUAGAAUUUGGCCUUCAUUAAAUCAUUAACUCCAUCUCGGAUAACACCCUCUCCACUAAAGAUCAAAACCAUUCGCCAAAACCUAUUAACCAUAAN